GAUGAACGCUGGCGGCGUGCUUAACACAUGCAAGUCGAACGGAAAGGCUCCUUCUUUCAGGGGUACUCGAGUGGCGAACGGGUGAGUAACACGUGGGUGAUCUGCCCUGCACUUCGGGAUAAGCCUGGGAAACUGGGUCUAAUACCGGAUAGGACCAUGUUUUGCAUGCCAUUGUUGAAAGUUUUUUCGGUGUGGGAUGAGCUCGCGGCCUAUCAGCUUUUUGGUGGGGUAAUGGCCUACCAAGGCGUCGACGGGUAGCCGGCCUGAGAGGGUGUACGGCCACAUUGGGACUGAGAUACGGCCCAGACUCCUACGGGAGGCAGCAGUGGGGAAUAUUGCACAAUGGGCGGAAGCCUGAUGCAGCGACGCCGCGUGGGGGAUGACGGCCUUCGGGUUGUAAACUCCUUUCGCUAGGGACGAAGCGAAAGUGACGGUAACGGGUGAAGAAGCACCGGCUAACUACGUG
rnacentral:rRNA from 1 species